rnacentral:rRNA from 1 species
UAGCGUAUAUUAAAGUUGUUGCGGUAAAAAAGCUCGUAGUUGGAUUUCUGUUGAGAAAGACCGGUCCAUACCAUGUAUGCGCAUCUGGCUUUUUCUCGGCAUCCUGUCAAAUUGCGGCGUUGUGCUUGAUUGCAUGACUCGGGAUCUGGCACUUUUACUUUGAGGAAAUUAGAGUGUUCACGGCAGGCUAUCGCCCGAAUACAUUAGCAUGGAAUAAUACUAUAGGAUCUUGAUUCUAUUUUGUUGGUUUCUAGAAUUGAGAUAAUGAUUAAUAGGGACAAUUGGGGGUAUCCGUAUCAUGACGUC